rnacentral:rRNA from 1 species
CUACGGGCCGCACCAGUGGGGAAUAUUGGACAAUGGGCUAGCGCCUGAUCCAGCAAUUCUGUGUGAAUGAAGAAGGCUUUCGGGUCGUAAAGUUCUUUCGGCAGGGAAGAAGGAGGUGACGGUACCUGCAUAAGAAGCGACGGCUAAUUACGUGCCAGCAGCCGCGGUAAUACGUAAGUCGCAAGCGUUAUCCGGAUUUACUGGGCGUAAAGGGCAUCUAGGCGGUUUAACAAGUCAGGGGUGAAAAGCUAUGGCUCAACCAUAGUCUUGCCUUUGAAACUGUUAGACUAGAGUACGGAAGAGGAGGUCGGAACUACAAGUGUAGCGGUGGAAUGCGUAGAUAUUUGUAGGAAUGCCGAAGAAGAAGUUAGGCCUCUGGGACGUUACUGACGCUGAAGUGCGAAAGCUAGGGUAGCAAACAGGAUUAGAUACCCUUGUAGUC